GGGGAUUUGGCUCAGUGGUAGAGCACUUGCCAAGGAAGCGCAAGGUCAUUGGUUCAAUCCCCA
rnacentral:tRNA from 1 species